rnacentral:rRNA from 1 species
GACAGAGGGGGCAAGCGUUGCUCGGAAUUACUGGGGGUAAAGGGCGCGUAGGCGGAAUGGCAAGUCGGUCGUGAAAUCCUUCGGCUCAACCGAAGAACGUCGAUCGAAACUGCCGUUCUUGAGGAUUGCAGAGGAGACUGGAAUUCCCGGUGUAGCGGUGAAAUGUGUAGAGAUCGGGAGGAACACCGGUGGCGAAGGCGGGUCUCUGGGCAAUUCCUGACGCUGAGGCGCGAAAGCGUGGGGAGCAAACGGG